rnacentral:lncRNA from 10 species
UGGGAGAAGGACUAAAUGGCCUAGAAGAGGGAUCACACAUAAUGAGGUACAAUUGUCUGCUUAUACAGACUUGCUGGAGCAUAAUAGUUCCACAAAGACCAUUCUCCAAAUAGUGAACCCAGAAGCCUUCACUUAUGACUUCAAUAAAAAUUCACCAAUGGAACAGAAUAGAUAGCCCAGAAAUAAUGCCACACACCUACAACCAUCUGAUCUUCCACAAAAUCAACAAAAACAAGCAAUGGGGAAAGGACUCCCUAUUCAAUGAUUGGUGCUGGAAUAACUGGCUAGCCAUAUGCAGAAGAUUGAAACUGGACCCCUUCCUUACACCAUAUACAUGAAUCAACCUAAGAUGGAUCAAAGACUUAAAUGUAAAGCCUAAAACUAUAAAAACUCUCGAGGAUAACAUAGAAAAUACCAUUCUGGAUAUAGGACCUGGCAAAUAUUUCAUGAUGAAGACACCAAAACCAACUGCAACAAAAACAAAAAUUGACAAAUGGGACUGGAUUAAAGAAAGAACUUCUGCACAGCAAAAGAAACUCUCAACAGUGUAAACAGACAACCUGCAGAAUGGGAGAAAAUUUUUGCAAACUAUGCAUCCAACAAAGGCCCUCUAAUAUCCAGAAUCUAUGAGGAACUUAAACAAAUUUACAACCGAGAAACAAACAACCUCAUUAAAAAGUGGGCAAAGGACAUGAACAGACACUUUUCAAAAAAAGCAUACAUCCAGCCAACAAGCAUAUGAAAAAAUGCUCAUCAUUAGAGAAAUGCAAAUCAAAACCACAAUGAGAUAUCAUCUCACACCAGUCAGAAUGGCUAUUAUUAAAGAGUCAAAAAACAACAGAUGCUGGUUAGGUC